UCUCCGUAGGUGAACCUGCGGAGGGAUCAUUACUGAGUGAGGGCUCACGCCCGACCUCCAACCCUUUGUGCACACAUCUUGUUGCUUCGGGGGCGACCCUGCCGUUCGCGGCGUGGGCACCCCGGAGCCCAUCAAACCCUGCGUAACGGAGUCGUCGGAGUUUAAACAAAUUAAACAAAACUUUCAACAACGGAUCUCUUGGUUCGGGCAUCGAUGAAGAACGCAGC
rnacentral:misc_RNA from 1 species